CUCGUGCUGUUCUCAUGAUAGUGAAUAAGUCUCAUAAGAUCUGAUGGUUUUACAAAGGGGAGUUCCCCUGCACAUGCUCUCUUGCCUGCUGCCAUGUCAGACGUGACUUUGCUCCUCAUUCAACUUCUGCCAUGAUUGUGAGGCCUCCCCAGCCAUGUGGGACUGAGAAAUUUGGAUACAGAGACAGAUGCACACAGAGGGAAGAUGAUGGGAAGGGACACGGGGAGAAGAUGGUCAUCCCCAUGCCAAGGAAGGAGGCCUGGAACAAAUUCCCCUUCACAGCACUCAGAAGAAACCAGCCCUGCUGACACUUCGAGUUCAGACUUUUAGCUUCCAGAACUGUGAGACUAUACGGUUUUGUUGUUUAAGACCCCCGGUUUGUAGUACUUUGUUACAGCAGUCCUAGCCAAUGAAUACAGGU
rnacentral:lncRNA from 1 species